rnacentral:rRNA from 1 species
UACGGAAGGCAGCAGUGGGGAAUAUUGCACAAUGGGCGCAAGCCUGAUGCAGCCAUGCCGCGUGUAUGAAGAAGGCCUUCGGGUUGUAAAGUACUUUCAGUCGUGAGGAAGGUGUUAAGGUUAAUAACCUUAGCAAUUGACGUUAGCGACAGAAGAAGCACCGGCUAACUCCGUGCCAGCAGCCGCGGUAAUACGGAGGGUGCGAGCGUUAAUCGGAAUUACUGGGCGUAAGGGCACGCAGGCGGUUAAUUAAGUUGGAUGUGAAAUCCCCGGGCUUAACCUGGGAAUGGCAUUCAAGACUGGUUAGCUAGAGUCUUGUAGAGGGGGUAGAAUUCCAUGUGUAGCGGUGAAAUGCGUAGAGAUGUGGAGGAAUACCGGUGGCGAAGGCGGCCCCUGGACAAAGACUGACGCUCAUGUGCGAAAGCGUGGGGAGCAAACAGGGAUUAGAUACC